rnacentral:rRNA from 1 species
GACGAACGCUGGCGGCGUGCUUAACACAUGCAAGUCGAACGGAAAGGCCUCUUUCGGGGGGUACUCGAGUGGCGAACGGGUGAGUAACACGUGAGUAACCUGCCCUUGACUUUGGGAUAACUUCAGGAAACUGGGGCUAAUACCGGAUAGGAGCUCCUGCUGCAUGGUGGGGGUUGGAAAGUUUCGGCGGUUGGGGAUGGACUCGCGGCUUAUCAGCUUGUUGGUGGGGUAGUGGCUUACCAAGGCUUUGACGGGUAGCCGGCCUGAGAGGGUGACCGGCCACAUUGGGACUGAGAUACGGCCCAGACUCCUACGGGAGGCAGCAGUGGGGAAUAUUGCACAAUGGGUGGAAGCCUGAUGCAGCAACGCCGUGUGCGGGAUGAAGGUCUUCGGGUUGUAAACCGCUUUCGCUCAUGACGAAGCUUUGUGUGACAGUAGUGGGUAAAGAAGCACGGGCUAACUACGUG